CAACCCUCAAGCUUUGUUGCUUGGUGUUGGGGCGUAGCCUGUAAAACGGCUAGCCCUGAAAUCCCAGUGGCGUGCUCGCUAAGCCUCCAUGCGUGUUAAUUUAAAUUUCUUUAAAAUCGCUUUGGUUGGAGUGGCGGUGCCCAGCCGUAAAACCCUCUGUUCCUCGGAGCAGUGCUUUCUGAA
rnacentral:misc_RNA from 1 species